GACGAACCGUGCGAGCGUUGUUCGGAAUCACUGGGCUUAAAGGGCGCGUAGGCGGGCUGACAAGUCUGGGGUGAAAUCCCACGGCUCAACCGUGGAACUGCCUUAGAUACUGUCGGCCUCGAGGAAGGUAGGGGCAUGCGGAACUGUAGGUGGAGCGGUGAAAUGCGUUGAUAUCUACAGGAACUCCGGUGGCGAAAGCGGCGGGCUGGACCUUUUCUGACGCUGAGGCGCGAAAGCUAGGGGAGCAAACGGG
rnacentral:rRNA from 1 species